GGUGCUGAACAUGUUUCAUUUUGGUGCGAAACAAGAUGCAUAUAAGAUGAAGAAGAGCCGAUCGUCGUCAACAUGCAUGGGCAAACCUGAUGGCCAUCCAGAUUUCUACCGCAAUGCAGGAUACUUAGCACACUAACACUGGUUUUUAAAUCAAACUGAUGUUUUAUUUACUAUAUUCCUGAAUGGGCACUAUUGUUCGUUUAUUUUUUUCAUUUUUAAAAUUUUUAAUUUUAAAUUGAAGGGUGAGC
rnacentral:lncRNA from 1 species